rnacentral:rRNA from 1 species
AGGUAAUAAAAUUUUAAAUAUAAACUUAUAUAUAUUGACGAUAUUUUUAUUUCUAAAGGAACUUGUUUUUUAAUCGAUAAUCCACGAUAUUUUUUACUUAUAUUAAAAAUUUAUAUAUCACCAUUUUUAUAUAAAUUAAUUUAAAAAUUUAAUUUUAAAUAAUUAAUAUAAAAUUUUAGGUAAAGAUGUAAUCUAUAUAUAAGAUAAAAUGAGUUACAUUAAAUAUAAUUUAAGGAAAAUUUAAAUUAAAUUUUAUUAGAAAAAGAAUUUAGAAGUAAUUAAAUAAAAUUAAUAUUUUAUGAAUUUUAUUAUAAAUAUGU